rnacentral:lncRNA from 1 species
UGUAUAAAGCUUCUGUUCUCUCUAAUCUGAGCUCUCUCCUACCUUUAACCUCUUAGGUCAUGGCAGUUUACAGACAAGCUACAUCAGAGGAAGUGUAAAGAAGUGGUAAAGAUUUGACCUCAUGCACAAAAGCAUUUAAAAAGUCCUGGUGAAUCCUCAGCUGCCUGAGUCAACAUGAGCUUUGUUCCUGACCUCACUGAACUCAGGACUUCACUGUUGUGUAUGUUUGCAUCCUACCAGGUGUUUUCUAGUACUUCACUACUUCUCAGUGGUUUAGAGAUCAAAAGAAGAAGA